rnacentral:rRNA from 1 species
UACGUAGGGUGCGAGCGUUGUCCGGAAUUACUGGGCGUAAAGAGCUCGUAGGUGGUUUGUCGCGUUGUCCUUGAAAUUCCCUGGCUUAACUGGGGGCGUGCGGGCGAUACGGGCAGACUGGAGUACUGCAGGGGAGACUGGAAUUCCUGGUGUAGCGGUGGAAUGCGCAGAUAUCAGGAGGAACACCGGUGGCGAAGGCGGGUCUCUGGGCAGUAACUGACGCUGAGGAGCGAAAGCGUGGGGAGCGAACAGG